GGAACAUUGGUGGGUGAAUUCAGAUGGAGCCCUUGUAAAGAUGAUACCCCAAAUUAUUAUUUUCGGAUAUAAAGACAAUACUGUAGUCACCAAAAAAUGGAUUGCAACUUGCAAAACAUGCGGGAAGAAAAUUAUAGACGGAAGCGCAACAACUUCCAACUUUGUUUGACAUUUGAAGCUGCACAAAGAACGAUUUGAACAAUUCCAGAAGAACAAAAGUGUCAGAAGUGAACCACAAAAGUCUCCAAUCUCACAGUUCAUGGAGACCCGUGUAGGGCAGUACAGCAUGAAUCAUCCACAGCAGAAAGCUAUCAACAAAGCAAUACUGUCCAACCUGGUUAUCGAUUGCAACUUGCCGAAAAAAGUUUUCGUCACUUUCUGUCAAUGGUUGACAGUAAGUACAGCCCAGUGUGUCGCAGAACAUUGACAUCAAAAGUAGAGAACCUCGCUACAGAGAGAUGUUAAAAACUGAAAACUCAUUUGAGCGACACAGACCAUGUUUCAGUCACAGUGGACAUUUGGUCCGACCAAAAGAUGAGGGGGUUUCUUGGUGUCACUGUGCACUGUAUGGAGAAAGAUGGAGAGAGGAUACAGCUCAAAGUCCAAUCUCUUGGCCUGUGACCGCUUCAAAGGCCCACACACGGCCGAAAGAAUCUGUGAGCAAUUUGAGGCCAUAUGUGAUGAGUACAGCAUUAAAGAUAAAUUGAACUAUAUCAUUAGUGACAAUGCUGCCAACAUGAGAAAAGCAUUCACGGUGUGCUUCUCCAUUGAACAGGAUGAUGGAGUACAUGAUGAAGAUCACAAUGAUGACCCAGAGCUCUGGAAUGACCUAACCCUGGAAGACCAGCAGACAGUGGAUGCUGCUAUUGCAAAAAAAACAGCGCUCGCAGUGUUUUGCCCACACUCUCCAGCUGGUUGUGGGAGAUGGCUUGAAAGAAACAAAAGUGAUGACUCCUUCUCUUUCAAAGUUAUCGAAAAUCAGCUCACUGCUGCAUACAAGCACAACAUUCAAAUUUGGGGAAAGAGGCAUGCCUACUGCUGUCAACACAAGAUGGAACUCAACACUGAGUAAAGUGAAGGCAGUAAUCCAAUGUGGCCAUCUAAAGCUCUGUCAUGUUCUAGAAAAGGCUGGGCACAAGGAGUUGUUGUUCACAGUACGGGAGUGGAAUAAGGAGUUGGUGGACAUCCUGAAGCCAUUUGGAGCAACAGAUAUGACACAGGGGGAGAAGAUAGUCACAAUCAGUUCUGUUGUUCCCUCUGUCCUGUCCCUAAAUCACCACCUGGAGCAGCAGAAGAAUCAAGUCCAUUUCCUGAGCGGCCUGGUCAGAAGUCUCCAUGCAUCCCUGAACAAAAUAUUUAUUGGAAUCUUCAUCAAUGUGAAAAUGGCCAAGACAAGAUGGAAUCACUGCCCCCUUUUCAGAUCCAGUCUACCUCAAAGCAGCUGCCUUUGAUCCGGCUUUUUCUCUGAUGUGGGUGGAGCAGGUGUGCUGGUCAAGGAGGAGGUGGCACAAAGAGUGAAAGAACUGAUUCUGCAAGAUGCUGCAGGGACUGAGCAAGCUGUGCCUCUUGUUGAUGAGGAAGAGCGAGAGGACCAUAGUCCUGGACAAGAAGAAGAGCUGUUUGCAGCAUACUGUAAGAGGCAGAAGAAAGCUGUUGGGAUCACUACAGUCACUACCUUUACAUAUGCGAAGGACAGAAUGCCCUCUUGUUCUGGGCAAUGAAUGUGAAGGCUCUUCCUCCACUGUCCCGAGUGGCCAUCAGGGUCUUGGCAGUUACUGCCUCCAGUGCUCCGGUGGAGCAUGUCUUUAGCCAUGUUGGCAUCAAACUGCGGCCUCAUCGUGCACAAAUGACUGACAGAUUUUUAUCAAAUUUGGUAUUUUGUAAAUGCAAUGCAUCAUAGGGCCCUGAGAUAAGAGAAAAAAGUAAACUGUUUAUGCAUUACACACACACACACACACACACACACACACGUAGUCUCCAUGUUCAGGUUUUAUCCCCCAUCUUUGGGAUCUGUAUUUUUUUCUCAGACAUUCAUGCCAGUGUUCAAAUUGAAGGCCUACUUGAAGUUCAGUAGCAGUUGUUUUGAUUUACCUUUUAAUAAAUGAUUGUAACUUUAUGGCAGGAUUGUUUUAGGUGUCAAGAGUAUAUCUGGAGAGAGAGAGAGCACUCCAAUAUUUUGUUUUUGUUGUCAUACUGAUCUGUCUUUCUCAUGGCUACCCAUGUAUUGCCAUGGAAAUAUAAAGUUUAUUUGGAAAGUAAUAAAUAUAUAUAUAUAUUUAAAAGCAUUCAUGUUUUGCGUAAAUAUAAUAUACUAACUCUUACUCUUGUUAAAAACAUGAAAUGGUAUUACAUUUGGUGAAGAGCACAUUAUGACUUAUUUAGGAAUCGAAACUCAAAGUUUUGGACUUGAGACUUGACUGGGGACUUGUCGGUCUUGACUUGAGACUUGACUCGGACUUGCCUGUCUUGACUUGGAACUUGAGUGCUAAGACUUGAGACUUACUUGUCACUUGUAAAAACAAUGACUUGGUCCCACGUCUGAUAGAAAGUGUUAUCAAUACUUCUUUAGAAAUACCUAUUGUGUGUAAUAUCAUUAAGUUCUUCCUGGGACAAACCAAUGUGUUCUUCUGUUAAAGGUCCCCAAAGCACACACAUCCCUGGGUCGCUCGUCUUUUCAGUUCGACGCAGCUAGCGACUGGAACGAGCUGCAACAAGCGCUUAAACUGGACAGUUUUAUCUCCAUCUCUUCAUUCAAAGACUUAACCAUGGACGACACUCUUACUGACAGUUGUGGCUGUUUUGCGUGAUGUAUUGUUCUCUCUACCUUCUUGCCCUUUGUGCUGUUGUCUGUGCCCAAUAAUGUUUGUACCCUGUUUUGUGCUGCUACCAUGUUGUGCUGCUGCCAUGUUGUAUUGCUACCAUGCUGUGUUGUCAUGUGUUACUGCCAUGCUAUGUUGUUGUCUUAGGUAUCUCUUUAUCUAGUGUUGUGUUGUCUCUCUUGUUGUGAUGUGUGUUUUAUCCUAUAUUUUUAAUCUCAGCCCCCGCAGGAGGCCUUUUGCAUUUUGGUAGGCUGUCAUUGUAAAUAAGAAUUUGGUCUUAACUGACUUGCCUAGUUAAGUAAAGGUUCAAUUAAAAAAAU
ensembl:lncRNA